CCUUCAAUAGGAAGGAUACCUACCGGUUAUACCCCGUAGACUGAUAUNCCUAUACAAGAAGCACCGGCUAACUCCGUGCCAGCAGCCGCGGUAAUACGGAGGGUGCAAGCGUUAAUCGGAAUUACUGGGCGUAACGCGUGCGUAGGCGGUUAUUUAAGUCAGAUGUGAAAGCCCCGGGCUUAACCUGGGAACUGCAUUUGAUACUGGGUAACUAGAGUUGAGUAGAGGAGAGUGGAAUUUCAGGCUGUACGCGUUGAAAUGCGUAGAGAUCUGAAGGAACACCAGUUGA
rnacentral:rRNA from 1 species